UACGGGGGGGCAAGCGUUGUUCGGAAUUACUGGGCGUAAAGGGCUCGUAGGCGGCCAACUAAGUCAGACGUGAAAUCCCUCGGCUUAACCGGGGAACUGCGUCUGAUACUGGAUGGCUUGAGGUUGGGAGAGGGAUGCGGAAUUCCAGGUGUAGCGGUGAAAUGCGUAGAUAUCUGGAGGAACACCGGUGGCGAAGGCGGGAUCCUGGGCCAGUACUGACGCUGAGGAGCGAAAGCGUGGGGAGCAAACAGG
rnacentral:rRNA from 1 species